GACAGGGGGCUCGAGCGUUAAUCGGAAUCACUGGGCCUAAAGGGUGCGUAGGCGGGCCAGUAAGCGUCUUGUGAAAUCCCCCGGCUCAACCGGGGAACUGCGGGGCGAACUGCUGGUCUUGAGGAAGCUAGAGGCCGGUAGAACGAUUGGUGGAGCGGUGGAAUGCGUAGAUAUCAAUCGGAAUGCCGAAAGUGAAGACAGCCGGCUGGGGCUUUCCUGACGCUGAGGCACGAAAGCGUGGGGAGCAAACGGG
rnacentral:rRNA from 1 species